AGCCCUCGGAUGGCAGCCUGACCUGCACCAAGAGGAAAACAAUGAAACUCACAUAGACCAGGAGAAGCCAACCACUGUGCCAUUCUGAGUUAUGGUCGAUCCUGUACAGCAACUACCUCGUUCUCUUGCUCAGAUUCAUCUUUCUCUAAAUACAUACAACUGUGUAUUUGAGAAUUCCAACUGAAAACUGUCUACCACACUGUGAAAAGGCUGCAGACAAAAGAGCCAGCAGUGAGAAAUUAGAAGAGCCAAGAAUCUUGUCAAACUGCAUUGGCAUUUCUCCAAAUGGGAACAGAACUUCUUUUUUGUCCUUUCUGUAAAGUUCUUGGCAUGCUCCUGGCAGAGGAGACUGCUUCAUAGCAAGAGAAAAGGCCCACUGCACUCAAUGAGAUCACAUUUAUUUAUGCUGUUCCUUCUUCCCUUUAAGGUAAAGGCUCUUAACCUGAAGCCCAUGGAGCUUCCAGGGCUACAGUGAAUCCAUAAACCUCUGGAAAUUACAUAUAAUAUUGUAUGGGCAUGUUUAUAUGUAUCUUUUUAGGUAGAGAUUAAUGGCUUUCAUCAAAUUAUAAAAAUGACCUUGGUCCAAAAAAGGUCAGGAACCACUCCUUUAAGAACUAUAUUCUUAAGUCCAUUAUGUUAAUACAUUUGAGGCCAGGUGUAAUGGUGUGCAACACGUCAAGGCAUGCUCCUGAAGCCUUAGUUUGUAAGGAGACCCUAUACUGUAUUCCAAUUAUCUCAAGAUGUUUCAUGACAAUCUUGAAGCAAAAUUAAAUUUCAUUUAUACUAGUGUGUCAUCAUACCUCAAUUUUUCACAAUGUCCAUACUAUAAAAUUCCAUAAAGAUGAGAAUCUUUUAGAACUUCAUUAACUAUAUGUAUGAGUUCCAAACAAACCUAUAUUAUACUGAGUCUUCUUAAUAGCAAACUAUACAUAUUUAAUUUGGGGGAAUGGGGGUGGAUCCUAAACGCCAAGACUUGAGGUGGGUAAGAGAUAGGUAAAAGAAUUAUAAAACCAAACGAAGAAUGAUGAAAUAGAAACUUAAAAGAG